UUAAGCGACUAAGCGUACACGGUGGAUGCCCUGGCAGUCAGAGGCGAUGAAGGACGUGCUAAUCUGCGAAAAGCGUCGGUAAGGUGAUAUGAACCGUUAUAACCGGCGAUGUCCGAAUGGGGAAACCCAGUGUGAUUCGUCACACUAUCGUUAACUGAAUACAUAGGUUAACGAGGCCGAACCGGGGGAACUGAAACAUCUAAGUACCCCGAGGAAAAGAAAUCAACCCGAGAUUCCCCCAGUAGCGGCGAGCGAACGGGGAGCAGCCCAGAGUCUGAAUCAGCUUGUGUGUUAGUGGAACGGUCUGGAAAGUCCGACGGUACAGGGUGAUAGUCCCGUACACCAAAAUGCACAGGUUGUGAACUCGAAGAGUAGGCGGGACACGUGGUAUCCUGUCUGAAUAUGGGGGGACCAUCCUCCAAGGCUAAAUACUCCUGACUGACCGAUAGUGAACCAGUACCGUGAGGGAAAGGCGAAAAGAACCCCCGGCGAGGGGAGUGAAAAAGAACCUGAAACCGUGUACGUACAAGCAGUGGGAGCACCUUCGGGUGUGACUGCGUACCUUUUGUAUAAUGGGUCAGCGACUUAUAUUCUGUAGCAAGGUUAACCGUAUAGGGGAGCCGCAGGGAAACCGAGUCUUAACUGGGCGUUAAGUUGCAGGGUAUAGACCCGAAACCCGGUGAUCUAGCCAUGGGCAGGUUGAAGGUUGGGUAACACUAACUGGAGGACCGAACCGACUAAUGUUGAAAAAUUAGCGGAUGACUUGUGGCUGGGGGUGAAAGGCCAAUCAAACCGGGAGAUAGCUGGUUCUCCCCGAAAGCUAUUUAGGUAGCGCCUCGUGAAUUCAUCUUCGGGGGUAGAGCACUGUUUCGGCUAGGGGGUCAUCCCGACUUACCAACCCGAUGCAAACUACGAAUACCGAAGAAUGUUAUCACGGGAGACACACGGCGGGUGCUAACGUCCGUCGUGAAGAGGGAAACAACCCAGACCGCCAGCUAAGGUCCCAAAGUCAUGGUUAAGUGGGAAACGAUGUGGGAAGGCACAGACAGCCAGGAUGUUGGCUUAGAAGCAGCCAUCAUUUAAAGAAAGCGUAAUAGCUCACUGGUCGAGUCGGCCUGCGCGGAAGAUGUAACGGGGCUAAACCAUGCACCGAAGCUGCGGCAGCGACACUAUGUGUUGUUGGGUAGGGGAGCGUUCUGUAAGCCUGCGAAGGUGGCCUGUGAGGGUUGCUGGAGGUAUCAGAAGUGCGAAUGCUGACAUAAGUAACGAUAAAGCGGGUGAAAAGCCCGCUCGCCGGAAGACCAAGGGUUCCUGUCCAACGUUAAUCGGGGCAGGGUGAGUCGACCCCUAAGGCGAGGCCGAAAGGCGUAGUCGAUGGGAAACAGGUUAAUAUUCCUGUACUUGGUGUUACUGCGAAGGGGGGACGGAGAAGGCUAUGUUAGCCGGGCGACGGUUGUCCCGGUUUAAGCAUGUAGGCUGGUUAUCCAGGCAAAUCCGGAUAAUCAAGGCUGAGGUGUGAUGACGAGGCACUACGGUGCUGAAGUAACAAAUGCCCUGCUUCCAGGAAAAGCCUCUAAGCAUCAGGUAACAUUAAAUCGUACCCCAAACCGACACAGGUGGUCAGGUAGAGAAUACCAAGGCGCUUGAGAGAACUCGGGUGAAGGAACUAGGCAAAAUGGUGCCGUAACUUCGGGAGAAGGCACGCUGGUGUGUAGGUGAAGUCCCUGCGGAUGGAGCUGAGACCAGUCGAAGAUACCAGCUGGCUGCAACUGUUUAUUAAAAACACAGCACUGUGCAAACACGAAAGUGGACGUAUACGGUGUGACGCCUGCCCGGUGCCGGAAGGUUAAUUGAUGGGGUUAUCCGUAAGGAGAAGCUCUUGAUCGAAGCCCCGGUAAACGGCGGCCGUAACUAUAACGGUCCUAAGGUAGCGAAAUUCCUUGUCGGGUAAGUUCCGACCUGCACGAAUGGCGUAAUGAUGGCCAGGCUGUCUCCACCCGAGACUCAGUGAAAUUGAACUCGCUGUGAAGAUGCAGUGUACCCGCGGCAGACGGAAAGACCCGUGAACCUUUACUAUAGCUUGACACUGAACAUUGAGCCUUGAUGUGUAGGAUAGGUGGGAGGCUUUGAAGCGUGGACGCCAGUCUGCGUGGAGCCAACCUUGAAAUACCACCCUUUAAUGUUUGAUGUUCUAACGUUGGCCCCUGACCGGGGUUGCGGACAGUGUCUGGUGGGUAGUUUGACUGGGGCGGUCUCCUCCCAAAGCGUAACGGAGGAGCACGAAGGUUAGCUAAUCCUGGUCGGACAUCAGGAGGUUAGUGCAAUGGCAUAAGCUAGCUUGACUGCGAGCGUGACGGCGCGAGCAGGUGCGAAAGCAGGUCAUAGUGAUCCGGUGGUUCUGAAUGGAAGGGCCAUCGCUCAACGGAUAAAAGGUACUCCGGGGAUAACAGGCUGAUACCGCCCAAGAGUUCAUAUCGACGGCGGUGUUUGGCACCUCGAUGUCGGCUCAUCACAUCCUGGGGCUGAAGUAGGUCCCAAGGGUAUGGCUGUUCGCCAUUUAAAGUGGUACGCGAGCUGGGUUUAGAACGUCGUGAGACAGUUCGGUCCCUAUCUGCCGUGGGCGCUGGAGAAUUGAGGGGGGCUGCUCCUAGUACGAGAGGACCGGAGUGGACGCAUCACUGGUGUUCGGGUUGUCAUGCCAAUGGCACUGCCCGGUAGCUAAAUGCGGAAGAGAUAAGUGCUGAAAGCAUCUAAGCACGAAACUUGCCCCGAGAUGAGUUCUCCCUGAGACUUUAAGUCUCCUGAAGGAACGUUGAAGACGACGACGUUGAUAGGCCGGGUGUGUAAGCGCAGCGAUGCGUUGAGCUAACCGGUACUAAUGAACCGUGAGGCUUAACCUU
rnacentral:rRNA from 1 species